GACGAACGCUGGCGGCGUGCCUAAUACAUGCAAGUGGGACGCAAGGAAACACACUGUGCUUGCACACCGUGUUUUCUUGAGUCGCGAACGGGUGAGUAACGCGUAGGUAACCUGCCUAUUAGCGGGGGAUAACUAUUGGAAACGAUAGCUAAUACCGCAUAAUAUUAAUUAUUGCAUGAUAAUUGAUUGAAAGAUGCAAGCGCAUCACUAGUAGAUGGACCUGCGUUGUAUUAGCUAGUUGGUAAGGUGAGAGCUUACCAAGGCGACGAUACAUAGCCGACCUGAGAGGGUGAUCGGCCACACUGGGACUGAGACACGGCCCAGACUCCUACGGGAGGCAGCAGUAGGGAAUCUUCGGCAAUGGACGAAAGUCUGACCGAGCAACGCCGCGUGAGUGAAGAAGGUUUUCGGAUCGUAAAGCUCUGUUGUAAGUCAAGAACGUGUGCGAGAGUGGAAAGUCACACAGGG
rnacentral:rRNA from 1 species